rnacentral:tRNA from 1 species
GCCUGGGUUGCUCAGUGGGUUGAGCAUCUGACUUUGGCUCAGGUCAUGAUCUCACAGUUUGUGAGUUCGAGCCCCACGUCAGGCU